UGGCUUUGGCAGCCCAUAUACUAAAACUGAAACGAUAUAAAGAAGAUUUUCCCAAGCAUGGUCCCUGGGCAAAGAUGACACACAAAUUCGUGAAGUGUUCCAUAUUUUA